AUUGAACGCUGGCGGAAUGCUUUACACAUGCAAGUCGAACGGUAGAGGGGGCAACCCCUCGAGAGUGGCGAACGGGUGAGUAAUAUAUCGGAACGUGCCCAGUCGUGGGGGAUAACGUAGCGAAAGUUACGCUAAUACCGCAUACGAUCUAAGGAUGCAAGCGGGGGAUCGCAAGACCUCGCGCGAUUGGAACGGCCGAUAUCAGACUAGGUAGUGGGUGGGGUAAAGGUUCACCAAGCCAACGAUCUGUAGCUGGUCUGAGAGGACGACCAGCAACACUGGAACUGAGACACGGUCCAGACUCCUACGGGAGGCAGCAGUGGGGAAUUUUGGACAAUGGACGCAAGUCUGAUCCAGCCAUUCCGCGUGCAGGAUGAAGGCCCUCGGGUUGUAAACUGCUUUUGUACGGAACGAAAAGGUCUCUCUUAAUACGGGGGACUCAUGACGGUACCGUAAGAAUAAGCACCGGCUAACUACGUGCCAGCCGCCGCGGUAAGAC
rnacentral:rRNA from 1 species